rnacentral:lncRNA from 1 species
CCUAGGGAAAGGAGAUGGCGCUUUCGGCAGCGCGCCGCACGUACCCUCAGCGACAGCGCACGAAUACGAAAUCACUACCGCUUCCACCUUGCUUCUGUGCAAUCAGCUGUCGGAAAUGCAACCUGGUUUUCGCGAACGGACUGUGCUCCAAUCGUGCCGGAUUUAAUCAUGUGGAUUGAAUACGUGUGCAGUAGUGGGCUGCAAAAAGAGUGACUGGCAUUAUAGCUGUUUCUCAGUGGCUAUGGUGUUGGGCUGCUGAGCACGAGGUCGCGCGAUCGAAUCCCGGCCACGGCGGCCGCAUUUCGAUGGGGCGAAAUGCGAAAACACCCGUGUACUUGGAUUUAGGUGCACGUUAAAGAACCCCAGGUGGCCUCAAUUUGCGGAGUCCCCCACUACGGCGUGCCUCAUAAUCAGAUCGUGGUUUUGGCACGUAAAGCCCCAUAAUU